UUGGUUAAUAAAACAAAUUUACUUGAUUACAUUAAUAUACUUUGUAUAAUUAUCCUCACAUGGUUUUUGUAUGUAAAAUAAAAUGGAAGAAAAUGUUGCUCAUUAAUUGUCUAAUGUUUAACUAAUACUAAGCGAUAUUACAUGGUUGGAUCGUAGUACGAAAAGACAUCUUAUGUUAAUAAAUCUAAACAUGUCUUUAGUCUAAUCUAAAAAGAGAAAACCGAUUGAAAGAUUAAAAUGUCAUCUAUCAAGUCCAAUUGAGGAGAUGUCUUUUCUUGGGCAUUGUAAUAGGUCCAUUUUGCCCGGCCCGAGCCCAAACCAAUAAAAACAAGAUAAGUAAAAAGAUUCAGCAGUCCAUUUACACAUUAAAAGGACCCAAAUAUAAAACCAAGCCCGAAAAACCCAAAUAACCUAAAUUCCUAACCCACUUCCUACCGGCCCGAUAGGCCCAAUGCCUAAACCAAUCUCAGCUAGCAGGAAACCCUAGUCUCCCUUAGCGCCGCACGUCCCAUGUGCCUCGUCGGCACGUCCAACGCCUGAGGCUCGACUCCCCUUUGUCCCGUUGCACCAAAACGAAAGCCCCCCUUUGUUGACCUUCCCCGACCUGCAAACAUACCCAAAAGAGGAACAGAGACAAGGCAACACGCAAAGGCAAACAGUAGAAAUAGAGGCCUAAAAGAAAAUAAAAAAUAGAUUGUAUUUCGGCUAUAAAGCCAAGAAAGAACAGAUUGUAUUUUUUUUUACAGACGAUUAAGCAAUCAAAAAGCAAAAAACAAAAAAGGUUGAUUUUAAAUCUCAAUUUCUUGUUCUUUUUUCUUUCGAUUUUAUUUUUUAUUUAUUUUUCUACCUUUUAAAUUUAUUUUUUAACAAAAAAAUAAAUAAAAAGGAAAAGGAAAAACUUACCCAAAACCCCGGGUUUGCGUCGCUGGAGUCUUCUUUCCCGUCGUCGGAAUCGACCCAAGGAGGAGGCAGGGGGUUCUUUCUCUUUUGUUUUCUUCGGUCUAGGGAGCCUCACCAUCGAAUCGCCCUUCAAGAGGGUCAAAAACCCGAUUCCAUGAGGCUUUGGACCACCGUCUACGGUGGAAUCCACGGCGGGUUCACGAUGGUCUGACGGCGGCUCAAAGAGGGCUAUAAACCCUAGAAAAAAAUGCAAAUGGGGGGGUAUUCUCUGAAAUUUUUUAGAAAAGAGGAAGCAAAUAAAAAAAUGGCUUAAAUGAUAAUGCAAAAAGGGUAUCGUUUUGCACCUGGGUUUCUAACGCUGAAACGGCAUCGUUUGGAGGGCCCGUGCGCGACCCGACCCACUCUAGGGGGGUCCACGCGUUUCCUUUAAGAGGGAAAAUAUCUACUUUAGUCCCUCCGCUUUUGUGAUGCGCGCAAUUUAGUUGUAUCCUAUUUUUAUUUUUUUAAUUUCAUCACAAACUUUUAACUUUGUUUCAUUCUGGUCCUUAGACCGUUUAAAAGGGUUAAAUGCUUGAAACGAGGGCAUUUUGAAGACAAGGGAUAAUUUCCCUGUUGGUCCUUUCUUGUUUUCAUACGUCAGAUUAUAACCCUUAUGUUAUUUGUUUCAUUUAAUUUGUCUCUUUAACUUUAUUUUAGCAUCAAAUUAACCUCUCGUUUGGAUUCUUUUAUUUAUUCGUCCACUCGCUAUUAUUUGAGAAUUUAAAUUUCAGUUUAUCUUUUAGUUUUGUUUAAGUUCCGACUUAGUCCUUUUGUUCUAAUUAAUUAAUUUAUUUAUUUAUUUACUUGUUCA
rnacentral:lncRNA from 1 species